GCGAGGAGGAGGAGGAAGGGGGGGGCAAAAAGAGGGGAGAGGAGGAGGAGGAGGAGGGAAAAGUUGAACCUCAGCCCAGGGAGUUCUGGAAUCCCGUGCACAAAACGUGAAAAGAAAGGAAGUCGGCAUCUCACCAGAAGUUUCCAUCCAUGAAGUGCCUUUAAUUACCCUUCUGUGAAGAGUCUUCACCAACAUGGCCUCUGCAUAUUUCAUAUCCUCCAAGUGUCCUGAUUUUCCAGUGCUGGAAUUACAAAAGCAAUCCUGGCUUCUGCUUUGAUCCCAGAACGUCCUGAUUUUCCCUGCCAGUGCUGCUGCUGCUGCUGAGCUUAGGGGGAAAGGAUGAGCCAUCCCAAACUGCAACUGUGAGGGAGCACCCCUUUGCCUCUCCUGGUGCUGCCGCCUCCUCCCCAUGGCAGCUCUUAGUGGCUGCCGGAGAGCGGGCGAGGAGGAGAGGCGGCCACUGCCACUGAGACCCAGCCCCACAUGAUACACUGGCUCUGAGAAGGCAGAAGGCAGCGCCACCCUGGGCAGGAAGAAAGGGGGAGAAGAGCACAAGAAGGCUUGAUAU